UACGUAGGGGGCGAGCGUUGUCCGGAUUCAUUGGGCGUAAAGAGCUCGUAGGCGGUUCAGUAAGUCGGGUGUGAAAGCUCCGAGCUCAACUCGGAGAGGCCACCCGAUACUGCUGUGACUUGAGUCCAGUAGAGGAGCGUGGAACUCCUGGUGUAGCGGUGAAAUGCGCAGAGAUCAGGAAGAACACCGGUAGCGAAGGCGGCGCUCUGGGCUGGAACUGACGAUGAGGAGCGAAAGAGUGGGUAGCAAACAGG
rnacentral:rRNA from 1 species